UAUAUACAAUUCUCAAAUGAUGCCACAUUACUACCAUCAGAUGUAUGGUUCUUCAUCAUCAACUGUUAGCCCACCAUAUCAUUAUCCUCACAUGGGGUACACUGUGCCAACUUCAAGGGCAACACUGCAAAAUCCACGCCCACCAUACAUGCAAUAUCCUACGGUCCACAUGGAGGGAUCUAUCUCUCCCUCAUCCUCACAGCCUUCUACCUUUCAGCUACAACCCCCUCCACAUGUAAGGCAACCACCAAACACAAUACCCAUGCGCCAGAUGAAAUAAAAUAAAAUAAUCUUCUAAAUAUUAAAUUUUAUAUAAAUAUUUUUUUUCUAUAUAUAUAUAUAUAUUCAUAAAGUACAUAUUUUGCUAUUCUAUUUUUAUUUUUAUCCUUGCAUAUAUAUAUCCAUGCCAUCUAACGUUGUUAAAAAAUUAAUGGUUUCAAAUUUAGAGGAAUAAAAAAAAAUUUCAAAAUUCUAUUUUAUUUUUAAUUAAAAUAGAUAUAGUUUUUAAUUAAUAAUAUUAGAAGAAUCGCUAUAUUAGGGAUAUUUGUACAAAAAUAGUAUUUUAUGAAGAUAAAGGAAAUAAAUAUAAAUUUUAAUAGAGUAUUUACACAAAUUUGACUUUUUAGAAGAAUAUUCAUAAAAAAAAUCUCUCACAGAGAAAAUAGAGGAGCUAAUAAGAACUACUAGAGAAUUUUUUUUUUUGAGUGGCCUUGAUUCGGCUACUUGCACAGACAUAUGGUAUACUUAAUGUGGAAAAUAAUUUUGUCUAUUUAAAAGUGUUGUUUAUUAGUUCAGCAUUUUUUAAUUUUUUAUUCUCUAUAUUUUCAUGAAGUUAUGUUAAUUGUUAAGAGAUUUUUUUUUUCCAUAACUGAAAAUUUUCAAUCAUAUUGCAGUCAACUAAUCAUUCUUUUUUUUUUUCUUUUCUUUCUUUCUUGAACAUCUUUGUCUUUGUAUUUCCAACAUGGACAAAAAAAUCAUUCUAUUAUUAAUAUGCAAGUAAGCAAUUCUUUGAUUACAAUGGCUAGUCUAUAACAAAACAUAGAUAUUAAAUGCUAAUUACCUAGAAAUAUAAUCUUCAUCAAUGAACAAGGAAAGUCAAUAUUUGGAUCAAAGUUAGCUGUCCCUUAUUAUUUAUGUAUUGUUUUAUAUAAUUUUGAUUACCUUAUGUUGGAUGGAUUGGUUUUUUUGUAAAAUGUGUGAGCAGGCUAUAUACAAUUCUCAAAUGAUGCCACAUUACUACCAUCAGAUGUAUGGUUCUUCAUCAUCGACUAUUAGCCCACCAUAUCAUUAUCCUCACAUGGGGUACACUGUGCCAACUUCAAGGGCAACACUGCAAAAUCCAUGCCCACCAUACAUGCAAUAUCCUACGGUCCACAUGGAGGGAUCUAUCUCUCCCUCAUCCUCACAGCCUUCUACCUUUCAGCUACAGCCCCCUCCACAUGUAAGGCAACCACCAAACACAAUAGGUAACUUCUAAACCUUUUACUUUCUGUAUUUAUGUUUGUACAUUUCAAUAUUUUCACUCAAGGUUUCAUUGGUGCUUAUAAAUUAUCUACCAGUGGGCAUAGAAAGGAGGUAUAGAUGUCAAGGAGUUAGAUUGGCUUAAAUUCUUAGAAGGCAUGCUUGGGCUUGAAUUUUUGGCUAGAGGGUGAAAAAUGUGUCACAAAUUAGCCUAUUUAUGAAAUUAUAAAAAGUCUAGAUUAGAAGGCAUCAAUUGAAUUAUGUAGGAUAGACCUAAAAGCAUUUUCAAGAUAAUCUCCUUUAUAACAUUUAGCAUAUUUUAAAUUAAGCAAAGGUUCAUAAAGCUUGUUUUUUUGACACCUUUGAGGUGAGAUAGCAUAAUAUAUAAUUUAGGAUCUUAAUGAACAAAUCAUAUCUCGCAUUAAAUUUUUUAUCUUUUGAACUAUAUUUUGUAAUUUUAAGUUUAUGAUGAAAUGCAUAUUUAUUAGCUUGAAAUUUAAGACUUUUACAAUUGUACUUUAGAAAGAAUGGAAAGGCUAAAAUAAAACAAAUGGACCUUAUAUAAGAGUCAGGGGGAGAAAUAUGCUAAAUAAAUUUGAACUGAUUAUAGCACUUGAAUUUAGGAAUCUAUUUAUGCAUAAGAGGUAAGUUCUUGUAUCCAGAUAUUCUUACCAUCUAAUGUUAAAUCAAAUGUUUAACAAACUUAUAUGGUGGUUUUCGUUAAUUCAAGCUAUAUAGCUUUUGCCUAUUUCUAAUUAUAUAGAUUUAAAGUCCAAAGAUUGACAUCCAUUAGUUGAAAUUAAUUGGCAAAUGAAUGCCAUAUUCCAUAUGAAAGAAAGGUUAGAUGCCAAUAAACAUGUCUGAGUUUGUUAUAUGUUAUUAUUAGUGUAGCUUGCCUAUCUUUUGACCAUUAAUCUUUUAUCUUUAGAUUAUAUAAAAUACUAUAUUUUUUGAAAUUUAUCCGUGUUGGAAAGUAAAGAUGCUAAUAUAUGUGCCUCCAUGUAUAUGUGCAUAUUUUGGUAAGAAAACAAUUAGUUGUAUAUAAGAAGUAGCUUUAAGUUCUCCAAUAGAUGAUAUUUUCUAAUAAUAUGAAAAUACUAGAACCCUAGAGGUUUCAUGAGAGUUGAUGCUUGCCAUUUAAUUACCCUAUGGAUUUAGAUUUUCUAUCUUAUUAUCCAUAUUCAAUAUCAUUUAGAUUUAAAUCUUUAUACUUAUUUCACAAACUUACUAAUUAGAUUAUGUUCUUGCAAAUUGGAUAGCUA
rnacentral:lncRNA from 1 species